CUUCCCACUAAAAUAUGAUUCAUUUUAAUAAAUAAAACAUUUAUCUUAAAUAAAAGUAGAGGAGAUAGAAAUUAUUACCAGGAGCUAUAGGGAAAGCACCAUAAGGGAAAGAUGCUUUUUUACAUUAUAAAAUUUUUUUUCAAAGACUAAAACUUUUACCUUUUGCAUAAUGAUUUAACCAGAAAACCCUUGACAAGAAGAAUUUAAGCCAAGCACCCCGAAACCAGAUGAGCUACUUAUGAGCAGCUAAUAAGAGCUCAUCUGUCUAUGUUGCAAAACAGGGGAAUGACUUAUAAGUAGAGGUGAAAAGCCUAGGCAGCCUGGUGAUAGUUGGUUGUCCAGAUUAGAAUUUUAGAUCUACUUUAAAUUUACCUGAAGCACAAGCAAGCCAAAUGUAAUUUUAAAUGUUAAUCUAAACAGGGACAGCUCUUUAGAAUCAAGGAAAAACCUUAGAGAGUAAAUUUGCUAAUUUCCAUAGUUGGCCUAAAAGCAGUCUUCAAUUGAAAAAGCAUUCAAACUUAACCUAAUCAUCAAAACUUAAUACCUAACUCUCAAUAACCUCCUAAACCAACACUGGACUAAUCUAUUUUUCUUAUAGAAGAAAUUAUGUUAAAAUGAGUAACAAGAAGAUAGUUCUCCCUGCAUAAGUUUAUAUCAGACCGAAUAAUUUACUGAUGUAAUUAACAAAUUCAUAAUAUUAAAUAAAUCAUAAAACCAUUAUUAAUAACAUUGUUAAACCAACACUGGUAUGCACUUAAGGGAAAGAUUUAAAAAAGUAAAAGGAACUCGGCAAACAUUAACCCCGCCUGUUUACCAAAAACAUCACCUCUAGCAUAAUCAGUAUUAGAGGAACUGCCUGCCAAGUGACACAUGUUUAACCCAUACAAAGGUAGCAUAAUCACUUGUUCUUUAAAUAGGGACUAGUAUGAAUGGCUUGACAAGGGUUUAACUGUCUCUUACUUUUAAUCAGUGAAAUUGACCUUCCCAUGAAGAGGCAGGAAUAUUCUAAUAAGAUGAGAAGACCCUAUGGAGCUUAAAUUUAAUGGUCUAACAGCCUUAACUUCACCUACGGGGUCAAAAUUAUUGUUAACAGACUAAAAUUUUUGGUUGGGGUGACCUCGGAGUACAAAUAAGCCUCUGAAUGAUAAUCAUCUAGACAUAACAUGUCCAAAUUACGACUCAUCAGUUGACCCAAACUAUUGAUCAAUAGAACAAGUUACCCUAGGGAUAACAGUGCAAUCCUACUCAAGAGUUCAUAUCGACAGUUUAGGGUUUACGACCUUGAUGUUGGAUCAGGACAUCCAAAUAGUGUAACCGCUAUUAAUGGUUCCUUUGUUCAAUGAUUAAAAUCCUAUGUGAUCUGAGUUCAGACCCGAGAAAUCCAGGUCGGUUUCUAUCUAUUACUGUAUUUCUCCCAGUACGAAAGGACAAGAGAAAUGAGGCCAAUUAAACACUUAUGCCUUAGAUAAAUAGAUUAAAUAAUCUAAAUCUAGUAAACUAUUAUAAAUACCCUGCCCUAGACCAGGGCUUUUAAGAUGACAGAGCCCCGUCAUUGCGUAAGUCUUAAAACUUUAUACCAGAGGUUCAAUUCCUCUUCUUAACAUUAAUGUUUCUAGUAAACCUCCUCCUCCUAAUUAUCCCAAUCCUAGUAGCCAUAGCUUUCCUAACCCUUAUUUAACAAAAAAUACUAGGCUACAUACAACUCUGUAAAGGCUCCAAUGUCGUCGGGCCCACCAGCUUACUCCAACCAUUUGCCGAUGCAAUAAAACUAUUCAUUAAAGAGCCUAUAAAACCUUUGACAUCAUCAAUUAUACUAUUUAUUGUUGCUCCUACCCUAGCCCUAACCAUGGCAUUUACCAUGUGAAUCCCCCUACCCAUACCCCAACCCCUGAUCAACAUAAAUAUAGGCAUACUAUUUA
rnacentral:rRNA from 1 species